GACGAACGCUGGCGGCGUGCUUAACACAUGCAAGUCGAACGGAAAGGCCCUGCUUUUGUGGGGUGCUCGAGUGGCGAACGGGUGAGUAACACGUGAGUAACCUGCCCUUGACUUUGGGAUAACUUCAGGAAACUGGGGCUAAUACCGGAUAGGAGCUCCUGCUGCAUGGUGGGGGUUGGAAAGUUUCGGCGGUUGGGGAUGGACUCGCGGCUUAUCAGCUUGUUGGUGGGGUAGUGGCUUACCAAGGCUUCGACGGGUAGCCGGCCUGAGAGGGUGACCGGCCACAUUGGGACUGAGAUACGGCCCAGACUCCUACGGGAGGCAGCAGUGGGGAAUAUUGCACAAUGGGCGGAAGCCUGAUGCAGCAACGCCGCGUGCGGGAUGACGGCCUUCGGGUUGUAAACCGCUUUCGCCUGUGACGAAGCGUGAGUGACGGUAAUGGGUAAAGAAGCACCGGCUAACUACGUG
rnacentral:rRNA from 1 species